ensembl:lncRNA
UUGAAUUUGACCUUUAGAAAACAGACAGAAUGAAGGAGCUGAGAUGAAAGGAUUUGAGGGGUGGAAAACUUUCAAUUAGUAAUAAGGCCAUUGAUUGGUCUCUUAACCCUCUGGUGUCAAGCUGUGCAUAUCAAAUCUUCUUUUCUUUUGUGUUUCAUCAUGUGCCAGCAGACUUGUCAGGAAAAAGCUGUGGGAGUUAAACCUGAGGUUGUCCGAGGAACUGUGUCCAUCAAACGUCUUACCCAGCACUGCUUGGGAGACACUGCUGUGACUCUACCUCGAGUAUAUCAACACAGUUCUUUUGGACAAGGUGACUUAGAGCAUUUCCUGCGUGUUUGUCUGCUGGAUCCCACCUUUUAUGGAUUUGUAGAGAAGGUGGAAGGGGAGCUGAGGAAACUGGUUGAAGAGUAAAGAAUCUUAACAAGAGCUCAAGGCAGAAAGGUCAAGUUUGCGUGUGUGUGUGUGUGCAUGUUUGUGUUUUUUUUUCUUUUUCUUUUACUUGUUCGUGUAGGCAGUGCCUGUUGGUGGAGGAGUGUUUUGUUGCUUUGGUGCCAGUGUUCUUUGAAAUUAUAUUACACAUUAGUUGUUAUGUUACAUGGGCCAAAGAGGAUGCUUUGAAUAUCAUUACAUUUGUUGAUUAAAGAAUUUGCAAAACAAACAUUCAUUUUUACAUUUUUUAUUUAAAAAAAAGAAGAAAAAAAAACUAUUGGUCUCACUUAUAUGUUUGAUCGUGGCUAUGUACUCUGGUCCCUCGUUCCCACCUUAAUGCAGGUCCAUUUCCACUGCACCACACAUGGAUACAUUGUAUUGAAAGAGGAGUCAUGCAGCUACAGCAGUGAAUUUUGCUAUGCCAGCUUCCAAGUGAUCCCACAAUAUUAAAGCUUCACUGAGUAAAACAAACUGCCCUCCAUAUAUCUAUUUAAGAAUACAUAUUGCAUAGGAUUAUAGCCAUGCUAUACAGUUAAAGAGAGGAACAAAAUAAAAAUCAGUUAAUGAAAUUGGGAAUUAUAAAAAAAAUAUUUUUUUUUACACCUUUCCUAUCAUUUGAACACUCAUACUUCAACAUAUACAAGACACCUAAGUUACUCUGGAAAGGAAAUAAAAAUAAUACGUAUAUUAUUUUUGUUAAGAUAGUUAGACACACAGUAGUCAUUUUCUGUAAGCACUCUCAUUUAAAUUUAAAUACUGCCAGUCAUUGAAGUCAUUGCUUCAGACAUUGAAGCCCUUGCUUCACAAUAAAAGUUCUGUUAAAAGUAGACAUCUUGUCACAAAUCAAAUAUAGUUAAAUGACCAUGAUAUGCUGUACAAAUUUUCAAGAAUAAAAUAUAUAUAUAUAUAUAUAUAUAUAUAUAUAUAUAUAUAUAUAUAU